rnacentral:rRNA from 1 species
UGAGUAACGCGUGAGAACCUGCCUCGAGGAGGGGGAUAACAGCGGGAAACGGCUGCUAAUACCCCAUAUGCCGAAAGGUGAAAAGAAAUUUGCCUUGAGAGGGGCUCGCGUCCGAUUAGCUAGUUGGUGAGGUAAGAGCUUACCAAGGCGACGAUCGGUAGCUGGUCUGAGAGGAUGAGCAGCCACACUGGGACUGAGACACGGCCCAGACUCCUACGGGAGGCAGCAGUGGGGAAUUUUCCGCAAUGGGCGAAAGCCUGACGGAGCAACGCCGCGUGGGGGAAGAAGGCCUUUGGGUUGUAAACUCCUUUUCUCAGGGAAGAAGUUCUGACGGUACCUGAGGAAUCAGCCUCGGCUAACUCCGUGCCAGCAGCCGCGGUAAUACGGAGGAGGCAAGCGUUAUCCGGAAUUAUUGGGCGUAAAGCGUUCGUAGGCGGCAUUUCAAGUCUGCUGUCAAAGGCCGAGGCUCAACUUCGGAAAGGCAGUGGAAACUGAAAAGCUAGAGGUCGGUAGGGGCAGAGGGAAUUCCCAGUGUAGCGGUGAAAUGCGUAGAUAUUGGGAAGAACACCGGUGGCGAAAGCGCUCUGCUGGGCCGAACCUGACGCUGAGGGACGAAAGCUAGGGGAGCGAAUGGGAUUAGAUACCCCAGUAGUCCUAGCCGUAAACGAUGGAGACUAGGUGUUGCCUGUAUCGACCCGGGCAGUGCCGAAGCCAACGCGUUAAGUCUCCCGCCUGGGGAGUACGCACGCAAGUGUGAAACUCAAAGGAAUUGACGGGGGCCCGCACAAGCGGUGGAGUAUGUGGUUUAAUUCGAUGCAACGCGAAGAACCUUACCAGGGCUUGACAUCCCGCGAAUCUCGGCGAAAGUUGAGAGUGCCUACGGGAACGCGGAGACAGGUGGUGCAUGGCUGUCGUCAACUCGUGUCCGGAGAUGUUGGGUUAAGUCCCGCAACGAGCGCA